rnacentral:misc_RNA from 1 species
CUUGGUUUUUUUUCAUUCCCCAUGUUUUCUUUAUGGCAUUGAUUUUGGUGAUUUUCUGUUUUCAGUGAAACUGGAAUCAUAUUUCUUGACUUCCACAUGGAAUUUCACUAGAACCUUUUCCACGUUUAUUUGAUGAUCACUCUGCUAGCUGUGACUGAAAUGGAUUAAGUUACCAACUUUUCAUUCGUUAAUCAUUAUCAAGAAGUACUUUUUAUGAG